AGAGUUUGAUCAUGGCUCAGAUUGAACGCUGGCGGCAAGCCUCAUACAUGCAAGUCGAACGAGAAAGUAUCUUCGGAUACAAGUAAAGUGGCGGACGGGUGAGUAAUACAUAGGAAUCUACCCAGUGGAGGGGGAUAGCUCGAGGAAACUCGAAUUAAUACCGCAUAAUCUCUACGGAGUAAAGAGGGCUUCGGCUCUCACCAUUGGAUGAGCCUAUGCAAGAUUAGCUUGUUGGUGAGGUAAUGGCUCACCAAGGCUACGAUCUUUAGCUGGUUUGAGAGGACGACCAGCCACAUCGGGACUGAGACACGGCCCGGACUUCUACGGAAGGCAGCAGUAGGGAAUAUUGGACAAUGAGCGAAAGCUUGAUCCAGCUAUGCCGCGUGUGCGAUGACGGCCUUAGGGUUGUAAAGCACUUUAGGUAACGAGGAAAAGUUAGGUGUUAAUACCACUUAACCUUGACGUUAAUUACAGAAUAAGCACCGGCUAAAUCCGUGCCAGCAGCCGCGGUAAUUC
rnacentral:rRNA from 1 species